AGGGAAUCUUCCACAAUGGACGCAAGUCUGAUGGAGCAACGCCGCGUGAGUGAAGAAGGUUUUCGGACCGUAAAGCUCUGUUGUUGGUGAAGAGGGAUAGAGGUAGUAACUGGCCUUUAUUUGACGGUAAUCAACCAGAAAGUCACGGCUAACUACGUGCCAGCAGCCGCGGUAAUACGUAGGUGGCAAGCGUUGUCCGGAUUUAUUGGGCGUAAAGCGAGCGCAGGCGGAAGAAUAAGUCUGAUGUGAAAGCCCUCGGCUUAACCGAGGAAUUGCAUCGGAAACUGUUUUCUUGAGUGCAGAAGAGGAGAGUAGAACUCCAUGUGUAGCGGUGGAAUGCGUAGAUAUAUGGAAGAAUACCAGUGGCGAAGGCGGCUCUCUGGUCUGCAACUGACGCUGAGGCUCGAAAGCAUGGGUAGCGAACAGAAUUAGAUACCCUGGUAGUCCAUGCCGUAAACGAUGAGUGCUAAGUGUUGGGAGGCUUCCGCCUCUCAGUGCUGCAGCUAACGCAUUAAGCACUCCGCCUGGGGGAGUACGACCGCAAGGUUGAAAC
rnacentral:rRNA from 1 species